rnacentral:lncRNA from 1 species
ACCUCCAAAAUCUCACUUUGAAUUAAAAACCCUAAAAAUUGAUGUUUAUAAUUCCAAGACCAAGAACGUGCCUUAAAACCUUACAAUAAUGUAACAGAAGGUAUCAUAAACAUAAAACCUAAUAGGAGUAUUUAUAUAUACAAAAUAAAUCAUAUCCUAAAAUAUGUAGGAGAAAUAGAUCGUCAUAUUUCUACCAAUCAUAGACCGGAGCUGUGGACAGUCUAGUAAUAAUGGAUUAGAGUCAUGGAACUCAAACUCUUUUCCACUGAUUUAGUCUACAAAUUGUAGACCCAGUCCAUGAGUCGUAGAACUCAUUCAUGGGAAUCAAACUUGAUUUUCUAUAACUUUUCAUUUACGAGUUGGUUCACUAGUUGUAGACCAAAUCUACCAGUCGUAGACCCUACCCAUGGAAUUUAAAAUUUUACUUUUUCCAUCAGUGUUUUAUUCAUGAGCCUGUUUGAUAGUUUGUGGAUGCUUCCAUGACCCAUGGAUGCUUUUCACGACUCUUCCCUUGGUCAAUUUUGAUCUCUUUUUCUAGAUUUUGCUUUUGAACCUUAUUCUCCUGUACAAUACCAAAAUAUCAAAUCAUGCCUACCAAAAAUACCUAAGUUCUUGCAUAUUUUCCUAUUAAGUAUCAAAAGUGCAAUGAAACCGUGACAAAUCAACACUCUUAACUUAGAACAUUUUCAUGCCCUCAGGAAUACAAAAUAAAACAAACACAUACAAUUUUUAACUCAAAGAAACCUAAGGGACAUGCGACAAUCAAUUCAUUGCUUUUAACACAAAAUUUUAACCCCCUCCUAUAAAAAAAAUUCAAACCCAUCGUCUGUUUAUAUGUAGCAUAUUACCAUGACACAAAAAAGAUCGAGCGAUGGCUUUAGAUUAUGAACAAACAACCAAGAAUAUAUGCAAUUGACAUUACCCAAAUAAAUAACAGCUAACAAUGUAACCCAUGUACACUUACAACAAUAAAGGCCUAUAAACUCAUAGUAUAAUCAUGAAUAUCAACAUAAGGACUGAAACAAAGUGAUCACUCUCACAAAUAAGUUCAAAUAGCAUGUUUGAAAUUCCAAAAUCUUGCCUUCAUUUUCUACACCUUAGUUUUUCGAAUAAUUGGACUAGGAUCACUAUAGGACUUUCAUCGGUUUAUAAUGUAGGCUUGGGAAUAGGUAUGGUAAAUAUGGAUAAGGUGACUCGACCCUUCUUGAUGUUGCACUAUUUUUUGGCUCCACUUUGUGAUAUUACUCAUUUUAUUCUCCUUUAUUUUUCUUCACUUUUCUUCAGAUUUUGGAUAUGAUUUUCUCUUUACACUUUCUAUUUUUUUCUUUUCUUUUUUUUUUCUUUUGAAACCUUCAUUCAUCAUAACUUUUUUUCCUUACCACGUCCAAAUCAAUUAUUUUUAUUUUACUAAAUUCAUCUUCAUAACCAUACCAACCUACGCACCCCUAUGAUAGCCACCUUCAACUUAAAAAAAUUUUCUGAGUUGUGGUACAUAAUAUCAAAGGAGGCUACACGGCAAAGACAGGUUAAUUGUAAGUAUAAUUGGGAAGGUAAGUAGGCUAAUGAAAGAAAAUGGUCAAUUAAGGCUCAAAUUUGGGUCAAGGAAUACUUAUUUCAUUUGGUAGAAUAUUUAGGCUAAAAGUGAAAUUAUUCAAGAAUGGCCUAUGAUCUUUUCCUAACCAACUAUCCUACAACCUAGUCAAGACUAACUAGGAAAGCUAUGGAUUACACCCACAAAGUAAACUCGGUAAGCAAUAUCCCACUCAUAUAGCAUUAGGUUGCACUAUCAACUACUACCUAACUAGUUUAUGCAUCACUAAUCUAUGGUUAUUUUGAUUAUAAUACUAAUUCCAUAACCAGAUCCAACAUUGUUCAUAAUUUAACACCACUCAAACACAUGGUUUAAAAUAAAAUUUCAGGAGGGAUAUCUUUUAAACAUCAUAAUCGAUUUUGAAUCAUUCAAAACUUGACUUGACUAAGAUUCCCUAUUUUUCUCCUAUUUAAACCCAAUAAACCUAUAAAAAAAACUAAACACAAGUAACACCCUAGACAUGUCGGUUCUACUAUGAUAGCACACUCGAGGAAAAAAAACGACAAUAAAAAACCCCGAGUGAUGGUAUACCCCACUCCCAAUUUUGAGAUGAUACACUAUCCUUGGUGUAUAACUAUGAAAAGUAUAAGAUCAAGGGAGUUAAGAUAUACUUUCAAUGCUCUAAGCGCCAGAUGUGGACUCACCCACAGUUAGGGUAUUUGGAGGCACCCUAGGCUCCAAGAUAGAUAGUGCUAGCUGCUGAUAGGAUGAUACUUAUAAUCUUAUCAACAUAAUACUCAAUCUGGAAUUCCUAGGUCACCAUCCUUAGGUCCUUCUCAAACUCAUCAUAACUCACACUAUGGCCUUCAGGGCUCGGUAUUCUCUUUCCCAUAUUAGUAGCGGCUUUAUCAUCCUUGAAAUAAUUAAACACCAACGUUGGCGAUGUGGGAAUCAAGUAGGGAAUAGAUGGCAAAUCAAGAUUUUUUAUAGACACUAACGCUCUGACCUCUAUCCUCAAUGUAGCCACCUCCUCCCUCAAGUUGGAAAAAUCUAGAAUGUGAAACUCACACAAUUGGUCAUUCGGGCCUCUACCCAUGCCUCAGAUGUCUUAAUUGAAGUUUAGACCAAUGGAUUUUUUAGGUUUACAACUUGGCCAAUUGGGUAUCAGUAUACAUUUUCCUCCCAACUAACUGCUACAAAAAAUCAUAUGACACUAAAAUCAUACCCAAAGUAGGUGGACAUAGAGGUACGAUAGAAGUUGAUGGUAGAACUAUGAUGCCUGCUUUCCUUUCACUACCCAUGAGAAAUGUGCUCUCGGGAGGUGAUCUUAAAAAAUCUAUCUCAAUGCCCAAUGUUGGGUGUCCACCUGCUCAGUCACCUGAAAUAGGGUUGCUCCAAGUGAAAUAGACGGUUGUGUUUUUCUUUGGAAAACUGGGUUUGUAUCAUCACAAAUUUACCCCAUAUUCGCUACAAGAGUCAUCUCUUAUUCAUGAUCAACACCUAGUAAUAUCAUGUUUCCUAUAAUAUCGUAUAACGUUUGGACCAAGCAAGGAAAUAAGAUACUAGUGGUCUUUGAAAGCUCUCUCAUGGAUCUCAUCAAUGAUGUUCAGGCAAAAUUUAUGACAUAUCUACCAAAAUGCUCGCUACCAGUACAGUGCAUUCAAGGGUAAGUGAAUUAUUUUCUCUUGUUCCAAUUGGUUCCACAUAAUGGACCACUAAAACUUACCAACAAAGUGCAAGGAUAACUUCUUGAUCUCCAUUUUUCUGCAACCCAUGUAGCAUCAACCUCGUUUUAAUAAUGUAGCUUGCAGCCCAACUUAAUAACUAUCGUUUCUACUCUAAAUCUUUUAUUUUUAUUUUAUUUUUCACCAUCUCAGUGUAGUUAUCAAUCUCUGUUAUCAUAUGCUCACAAAAACCUUAUGUCCAGGCCCAAAUAAGAUACACUAAAUUGUAUGCUCAGAGAUAUCAACUCGUGUACCUCGAACCAAUAUAUUGGAAAAUGGAGUUUGGUCCUUAGAUUAUUGACCCUUAGGUGUGAUCAAGUCUAAUAAAGUGUCAUAAGAGUCAUAGAACUCAUGCACUAACUUCAGACUAUAGCUCUCUGAUGGCUCCCUAUCCAACCAAACUUAUAUCGAUCAAAUAAUGACUCUAUCUCUGGAAUCCCAGCCAAAUCAGUGUUUGAAUAAUGGGGUUACUAUAUAAUAUUUCUCUUGAAUAAACCUCUGCUCGGCAUCCCUAUUAUAGAUCAAUUUAAUAUAUUGAACAGAACACCUUUAAUUUUCUCAGACUAUGGCUGACUGAGCCUUUUGCUCAGCUAAGGGAAACGUCGAAGUGUUUGUGGAACUUUGUAUCCUGAUUCCAGAAUUAGAGAAAGCAACAGUGUUCUUCUCACUAUCACCAGACUUAGAUUAUUCCUCUCUUUCUUCAUAAUAGAAAGAGAUAUCUGCCUACAUCGUAGGUGCCGGUCGAACUCAUGACUAAGGUUAUGGGGUAACAUGUGGUGUGUCCUGAGUUGCAUCUUUCUUUUUUGUUCAUUCUAUUAUACGAUGAGGCACAAGUGGGGUGUCAUUUUGCUCGAUCUCAUAUUCCUCCUCAGUCCUACUUUUCUCUUAUUCAAAAGACUCAUCUCAGAGUCUAGAUUUGGGUUCUUAAGCUUUAGCCUUUCUUUGGAUAUGAAGGACAGAUCACCUCAUUUUUUGUUACCUUUGGGUGGAAUUAUACUAGUGUAUAAAGAAAUUAGCACGCAAAUAAAAAACUAGGAACCAAGAAUAUUUAACUUAAGGUAUGAAGUUCACGAGUCAAGUAUAGGAUUUGUAAACUGGGUCCAUGACUCGUGGAACCCACUCAUGAACUUUAAAUAAAAAACUAAGUUAUAGGAGUUUGAAGUUCUGACUCCCACGAUUCCCAUUCACGAAUUAUCAAGAAAGUUCACUAUCCGUAGGUACAAUCGUGAGACUUGAACAUAGUAUCCACCAUUUUUUAGCAUCACAUAGUCAUACUCACCAUUUGAGCAUGCCAACCAUUGCAAUUGGGAAUUAUUAUUAAAAUUAGAUUCUUACUUAAACAUAAAUACUUGAAUACCUUUAUUCUAAUAAGUGUUAGAAUAGCACAAUACCAUCCUCAGUUCUAUAUGGGUUUUAAAGUUAAAUCAUAGCAAAUACUAAAGAAACAUAAGUUAAUACCUUGAAAGAGAUUUUAACUUCAAGUAAUCAACACUAGACUUCAACCCAACUUUCUUACUUCUACAGAGUAGUCGAGUUUGUAUCACAUGAGUGUGGGUUCGUGUAUCUGCUAUGGGAGUUUGAAUUAGAGUUAUGGGAGUUUGAAUUAGGGUUUUGGUGAUUUAGGGUUUUGGAUUUUGGAUUUUUGAUUUUGUU